CGGACGGGUGAGUAACGCGUGAGUAUUUACCUUUAGGAGGGGGACAGCAAUUGGAAACGAUUGCUAAUACCCCAUAUGCUUUAGAGUGAAAUAGAUUUAUCUGCCUAAAGAAAAGCUCGCGGCUGAUUAGUUAGUUGGUAAGGUAAUGGCUUACCAAGGCGACGAUCAGUGUCUGGUUUGAGAGGACGAUCAGACACACUGGAACUGAGACACGGUCCAGACUCCUACGGGAGGCAGCAGUGGGGAAUUUUCCGCAAUGGGCGAAAGCCUGACGGAGCAAUACCGCGUGAGGGAAGACUGCCUAUGGGUUGUAAACCUCUUUUUUCAGGGAGGAAUAAAUGACGUGUACCUGAAGAAUAAGCAUCGGCUAACUCCGUGCCAGCAGCCGCGGUAAGACGGAGGAUGCAAGUGUUAUCCGGAAUCACUGGGCGUAAAGCGUCUGUAGGUUGUUGUUUAAGUCAACUGUUAAAUCUUGAGGCUCAACUUCAAAAUCGCAGUCGAAACUAUUCAACUAGAGUAUAGUAGGGGUAAAGGGAAUUUCCAGUGGAGCGGUGAAAUGCGUAGAUAUUGGAAAGAACACCGAUGGCGAAGGCACUUUACUGGGCUAUUACUAACACUCAGAGACGAAAGCUAGGGUAGCAAAUGGGAUUAGAUACCCCAGUAGUC
rnacentral:rRNA from 1 species